UAUAUAAACUCAAAAGAUGGUACCUUAUUAAUCAUCAACAUCUACCCAUCCCACACACAUCUUUUAGCUUAUUUCUUUCUUUUUAAACAGUUCUUUGAUCUCGAUAACCAUUUCUAUGGCAGUCGAAUUGAUAUAUGAUUCUGAUGAAUUAAGAAGUUGCAAGAAACAUAUCUAGGGUGAGCGGUUUCCAGGCAAUUCGUGUCAAGUGAGCAAUCUUUUGCGGUUCAUCUCUUUUUCGUUGUCUGUUCGACCUUGAUUAUUUACAUAUUUUGAACCCUAGUUUUGUUGUUUAUUUUCUUGCUUAAUUACCUAACACAAUUCUUGGUCCCUUUAAUCUUAUCUCCUGGUAAUUUAGUUUGAUUAAUAUGUUUGUUGCACACAAAUUGUUUACAAGAACUCAGCAACCAACCUCUGAACUAGCUGCUCUUUUUUUCCCUAAUAACUUAGUCACUUAGAAUUGAACUCAUGAUCGUAAAGUCAUUAUGGCUCAGGGUUGAUCUUAUGACCUGAGUGGUUGUUUUAAUUACUUGGUUAGAAAGUAAGCAUGCAGUAGGACUUCAUUAGAGUUGAGAUAUAUAUCAAAUCAUGGAGACUGUAUGUGCCUUCUAAUUCUUAAGUAGAUAUUGAUGGGAUGAAUGGAUGAUAACGAGAUAGUUCGAUAACCCUAAUAUAGAAAAAGAAAAAUUAACAAUUAUGUAACGAAACAAAACCCAUGGUUUGGUCGGAUCUAGUUGAGCGAUCUAAAUAUCGAUCGAAUUACAGAUAACUAACAAAGUUAAGCAAUCUUAAAACAUCAUCUCUGUGGUUAUUGGUCGGAUCUAGUUUUGCUUAGUUAUCAUCUACCCAACAACUCUAGGUGAUUACCAAUAUCAGGAUCAUGGAAAGUUAUUAUUAGAAGAAACUGAUCAUGUUUAAUUAGUGCCAAAACUGAACUCUAGGAGUGCAAUCCCUCAUACCAAACAAUAUCAUAUGCUUUGCCCAUGAAGACCUCAUGAAUUUAACUUUUUUGUUACCCUAGUGAAAACUUCCUUAGAAGGUCACUCAUCCUUGGGUUACCCACAUCCAAGCAAGCUUAACUUAACUAUAGAGUUUUCCUCUCAUCCACAUUAUUAACGUUUAAAACAUGUUGGUAAUUAAUAUAUGACCUGUGUCAUUUCUUAUGACCUCCUGAUAUCUCUUUUGUAGACAUACUAUAAUAGAACGAUUUGAGAUUUGGGUAAGGUGUUACAAGGUGAGUGUCUUUUCUAUCAUUUGUUUCUAACAUGUUUUGUAUGCAUUUUAUGUAACUAUAUAUGUGAAACUGUGACAUUUUGGGGUCGUUCUUGUACAUUAACUAGUUUGAAAAACGAAAUAAAACGCAAAGUCCAUGAUCUAGCAAUCAACCGAAUUUCAGACACCGAAAAGUUGCACAAAACAUCAUCCUUUUGGUUUGGUCUAGUCUAGUUGGAUAUACCCUUAAGCUUAGUUAUCAUCUACCCAACAAUUCUUGGUGAUCAGCGGCGAAGCUUGAAAAUUUCCACCGGAGGGUCGAAAGUCACCGGACCUAAAAAUUCUAUAUAAGUAACUUUUUUUUAAUAAAACCAGGGGGUCGAAAACGUAUAUACCUAAAAAAUUCUAUACGAAAUGUACAUUCAUAACACUACUGAGCGAAAAGUUCGGGGGGUCGGGCGUCCUUCCCGGCCCCUUGAAAACUACGCCCCUGUUGGUGAUUACCAUUAUUAGUUUCAUAGAUAUUAUUUGUUAAAAGACUGCCACCACAAUGGGUUACCAGCGCAAUGACCACCACUAAAAGAAAAACAUUAUUCUUGGUAUGAGUUCAUGAUCACCCUAUGUCCUAUGUGGCUUGAUCAUCCCCAGUCCCCACGGUGCCACCCACCACCAUGUAACUUCACCAUCGUAUUUCUACAAAAUUACUAACAAAUUUAGUGAGCGUUGGUAAUUCUUUGGAUAAAUAUAUACAUAUAAAGUAUCAUAUUACAAAUUUAAUUGGAUUAUAUUAUAUUGUUCCACGUAAAUUUCUGUAUCUUGACCAUUGUUAAUGCGUGUGUGUCUAUGCAUGUAUUUGUGUGUGUGUGUGUGAAUUACGCAUAUAUAUCAAGGUGGAACAGACAAUGAAUGUGAGGUUGUAACAAGCAAACAGACUGGUUACUUGACAAGAGUAUGCAUGGAAACCAACACUGAUGUAUCUGAGGGUUGUAGUACAAGUAACGGAUUCAGUAUUUUUUUUUAAGUGGGACGAUCGGCAUUUUUACCUAAAAAUAACACUAAAUUAUUUUAGGGCCCCGGCUGCCCCCUUCCUUUAUAUGUUGGUACGCCUCUGAUAGUACGUUUCAGGUUGGAGAAGAUGAAAAGUGACCGGAUACAGAUGUUUUUAGAUGAUGAAUUCGUCGGGUAAGAGGCUGACACAGUAUGUUGCAAGCAUGGAAAUGCACAACUUACGAUGUAUAAUUUCUAGAUGAGUCACCUUUUAGGUGUGUAGAUAGGCAAAAUUGGUGUGUGGAUAGUUUGCCCCUUCUAGAUAAAUAGUCCAUUGUUUUAAGAUUUUGGAGGUGUAUUACAGUUUUCAAGGUUAUGUAUGAACAUAAAAAAGAAAAGUU
rnacentral:lncRNA from 1 species